UUGCGUGCAGGAUUGCAGUGGAGCUCUUUUUUAAUUUGAUCUUGUAUUUGAACGAGAAUAAAUUAAAAAAUGCGGGAACGGAAAGCCCGAUUCACC
rnacentral:sRNA from 1 species